AGUCCGAGCCCGCGGCUUGGAGGGGGGCGGAGAGAGGAAGGAGGGGCCCGGCCCCUCGUCCUGCACUGAAGGUGGGGGGCCCCGGGCACACACCGGUCUCGGGGCUGGUUGCCUGGCCCGUCGCCCCCACCCCCGCCGCCACACCCUGCACAAAUCACUGCGCGACUCCGGCGCGGCUACAGCCUCCGCCGAGGGCGCGGGGCCCGACCCCCCCGCACGAGUGCGCUGCCGCCGGGGAGCGGGGCCCGCGCUCAACUCUUCUCCCAGCCCCCGGGGGGGGAGGAGGGCCGGGCCGGGCCGGGCCGGGCUCGGCUCGCUGGGCCGCUGCCGCGGGGAGACAAUAGGCGCGAUGACUUCACCCUCCAGCAAUGUGAGGAGCCGCCGGCCCCUGCCCCGCGCUCCGCUCCCCUCAGCGGCCCGGGCCCGUUGGCGGAGGGGGCGCCCGUCCAGGUUGACAUCAUGCAUCUCUUCCAAGUGUGGCAAAGGGCCAGGAGGAACUAUAGAAGAUAAGACACCCCAAAACAGCAAGCCCUAAACAGCAGCAUGCUCUCCUUGUAUUUGAAGCCACUCAUGGAUAGAAGUUCUUUGACUCUUCAGCACUGAAGUGCCUAAUAAAUUAACCAGGGGUGUAGGCUGUAGAUGUGUUUGUCUCAGGACAUAGGCAGACAAGGUUCUUUGGGUGAAUAUGAUAUCUUUUAUUAGACCAAUUUAAAUAGUUGGAAAAAAAAUGUAUACCAAGCUUUCGGGUUUAAAAACCACACCAACUCCAGAGACUUCCUCAGCCUGACGAAGGGUUUUUAAACCCGAAAGCUUGCUAUAAAAAUGUUUUCCAACUAUUUAAGUUGGUUUAAUAAAAUAUAUCAUAUUCACCCAAAGAAACUUGUUUGCCUAAUAAAUUAAGCUGCAGUAUUAAUGGGUUCCAUUACAUCCUUUCACUUAAGACUUAAACUGAAUGAGUAGUGUCAAGGCAUGGGGGAAAAGUGGCUACUUUGGAGCAUCUUUACUUAGUUCCUUGGUCACUCUUUUUCCUUGAAGGCUCACUUCACACAAGCCAGAUUAACAUGGUCUUUGGGGUUUUUUUGCUUUUCUCUGUAGCAGGGAAGUGUCCCGCUCCCUUGGAACUCUCAAACAUAUCUUAACAACCUUUGCAGCAGUAGGGUAUUGGCCAUGGUUAUCCCCCUGCUUUACCUGUGACAGGUUAGGGUGUUAUGGUUGUGUCAGGGUUGACUGUAGUUUUGCAAACAGGUUAGACAACAGGAAGGUUUCUGUAGGGAUGCUGCUGCUUCAGGCAGUGGGAGUGGACUAGAUGAACUCUAGAAAUCCCUUCCAGCCCUUCUUUUCUAUGAUUUUAUAAUACUAAGACAAAAUAAAACCAUUCUACAUUUGUCCUUCAGAACACAAUAUGCCUUAGUAUUGGUUUACCAUGAAUAGCAAGUUGGAGAGUGUAGGGAGCUGGAUACAACUCCAAGAACUUUAGCCACAUUUAUCUGCUUUCUAUUUUUAUUGAUGUUUAGCAAAGUAUAGGGUGCAUAAACAGAAACACUGACUAUAGGUUACAGGAGAUUAUUCUGGCUGUAUAUGAGGAGCUAGGACCUGUAACCCUGUCAUUUGAAUACAUAUUUUAAUUGUAAGGUGUAUUGUUUAAAAUAAAGUCAGUUCUGGUCAUCUUAAAAA